rnacentral:tRNA from 1 species
GUUUUAAUAAUUUAAUAAAAAUAUUGGUCUUGUAAACCAAAAAUAAGGAACAACCUUUUAGAACU